rnacentral:misc_RNA from 1 species
UCCGGUUUAUCACCGGCAGUUUCCCUAGAGUGCUCGGCCGAACCGUUAGCAACUAAGGACAAGGGUUGCGCUCGUUGCGAGACUUAACUCAACACCUCACGGCACAAGCUGACGACAGCCAUGCAGCACCUGUCUCUGCGCCCCUUGCGGGGACCACCCAUCUCUGGGCUUAGCACAGGAUGUCAAACCCUGGUAAGGUUCUGCGCGUUGCGUCGAAUUAAACCACAUGCUCCACCGCUUGUGCGGGCCCCCGUCAAUUCCUUUGAGUUUCGACCUUGCGGCCGAACUCCCCAGGCGGGAUGCUUAAUGCGUUAGCUGCGCCACUGAUAAGCAUGCUUACCAACGGCUAGCAUCCAUCGUUUACGGCGUGGACUAC